CAGUACCAUAGAGUCUCUGUACAACUAUAUCAAUGACAUGGCACAGUUGUUUGGGCAACCCGAGCCACCAUUUGAGAUAACUGGAGUUUUGGUUCAUGCAGAUGCAGAAGUGUCUGAUCCGCUGCAAGAAGCAGGCAGCAGCAGUUUACCAUGCUCUUCCGGUAAAGCCCUCUACAGUGACGUCUUAAAACGCACACCAAAGGUACGUGAAUCUGUGAAGACUGAGCCAAAGACCCCUGAUUAUCCGGUACCUGUGGAUGAAGCUGCAGAUGUGAGAAACCCUAACCUUCCAACGCAGACAGCCUCUAAUGUGUUGCCAAGUAAAGGUAAAAGAUUGAGGAAAGAAAAGCACAUUGAGCUGUCAGGUAAACGGGUGACAAAAUCACACGCUGAAACUGUUGAAACCGAUGACUUGAUGAUCACUGAUGUUUCAGUUCCAGAUGUCUUUUUUUCUCCCUUAACAAAUAGUGAUAAACAAACUUUAUGUGAGCUCGUACAUCUGCCCAAUGAUAACAGUGACCAUAAUGUCAUAAACUUUGGUCCCAUUGCAGCUCCGUGUCAGACAAAGGCCAUUAAACCAGACGGCAACUGUUUUUUCCGAUCGUUGGCACAUGUGAUAUGUGGAAGUGAGGAGAAACACUUGAAGGUUCGCCGUGCAGUUGUGAAACAUCUGAAGAUGAAUACUCCACUGUUUGAGCGGUACGUGAGAAGUGAGUAUUCUUCAGCAGAGGAUUAUCUGACACAAUCUAGAAUGUUUUAUUCUGGCUCAUGGGUAACAGAAAUUGACAUAUUUGUUGCGGCUGAUCUUUUCAAAACCACCAUAAUGACUUUUAAUGACAGCCGAUGGAAUGCACACAAACCUACCGGGGAGGUAUCCACUCAGAAUGCAAUUUAUCUGAAACACUGUAACCGUAAUCAUUAUGAAGUUGUGACAUGUGUUAAGCACAGGGAUCGAGAUUCUGUUUGUGCAGGAGCAUGUGGAAAUGUGGUGUCAAAUGAGGUCAGCAAACCAUAUCUGCGUAAGAGAAAGGUAAGCGAUGCUGCAGAAUGUUGUCCCUCCAAAAGGCAUCGAGAGAGAUAUCGCAAUGAAAGUGAGUACAGACAAAAACAAUUGAAUUACAAGAAGUCAAAGUAUGGUAAUGACCCUAUAUACAGACAGAACAAAAUUGAGCAUGCCCAAACAAAAUAUUGGGAUGAUGCCAUUUACAGGGGGAAAAAAAUUGAGAAUGCCAAAUCAAAAUAUUCUGAUGACGCUGUUUACAGGGGGAAAAAAAUUGAAUAUGCCAAAACAAAAUAUUCUGAUGACACAGUUUACAGGGGGAAAAAAAUGGAAUAUGCCAAAACAAAAUAUUCUGAUGACACCGUUUACAGGGGGAAAAAAAUGGAAUAUGCCAAAACAAAAUAUUCUGAUGACACUGUUUACAGGGUGAAAAAAAUUGAAUAUGCCAAAACAAAAUAUUCUGAUGACACAGUUUACAGGGGGAAAAAAAUUGAAUAUGCCAAAACAAAAUACAGUGGAGAUAGAUAUUACCAAGAGAGAAAAAAGGAAUUUCUUCGUAACAAAUAUAAAAAAAAUGUUGAUGUUCGUUUAUCAAAGUGUAAACGUUCUAAGGCCAAGUACUUGUGUAAUAUUCAGUUCCAAAAACGUGUUUGCCAGUAUUCUCGAUUGAAAUAUAAAUAUAAUGUCUCUUUUCAGGCGAAUGUAUGUGAGUAUUCAAAGAAAAAAUAUCUGCAAGACCUGGCGUUCAAAGCAAGAGUGCGUGAGUAUUCAAAGAAAAAAUAUCUGCAAAACCUGGCCUUCAAAAGAAGAGUGUGUGAGUAUUCUGUGAUGAAAUACCAUAAAGAUGUGAACUUCCGUGUUCUUGCAAUACAAAAAGGUUGUGAAAGGUAUGCAAGAAAGAAGGAACAACAAGACAUUGAUGUUGCUAUUGAUAAUUUUAGACAAGAAAUUAGUAGUGGUCCAGAGUUUGUGUGCUGUGUCUGUCACCGUUUACUUUUCAGAAAGCAGGUUGUUGAAUGUAGAAGACACUGCUAUGAAGACAAAGGUGUUAAAGUUGCUGCUUUGGGGAGAAGAUGCAUCACAACCAGGUAUGUUCAUGUCUGUGAUCAAAAGUGUGAAGGAUCUUCUGCUCAUUCCUCAGGGUGCAAAUUAUGGAUUUGCCUAACGUGUCAUCGAAAAAUCCUUUGUGGACAACUGCCCGAAGAGAGUGUUGCUAACAAUAUGCAUUUGGUGGAUGUUCCAAUUCAACUGAAAUGUCUCAACUCCUUGGAACAACAUCUCAUUGCACGUAACAUUCCUUUUAUGAAAUUACUGUGCCUUCCUCGUGGUAAACAACAUGGAUGCCAUGGCCCUGUAGUUUGUGUUCCAGUAAAUGUCACAGAUGUCUCCAAUAUCCUUCCACGAAAUGAAUGUGAUGACAAGAUGAUAAGGAUCAAACUGAAACGCAAGUUAACCUACAAAGGGUAUUAUGAGUACAAGUAUGUACACACUGAUCGUGUUAGAAAUGCUCUGAAAUAUUUAAUCCGGUUCAAUAAGUGGUUCAGUGAUGUGGAGAUUAAUCAGCAGUGGAUCAACUCUUUGAACAAACCCAAAGAAAAUGUUGUAGAUGAAAUGGAGGAACAAGACGUAGUUGAAAAGAUUGAUGACGAAAAUGACCUUGAUGAACAGCAAGAGGAAGACCUUACCUACAUCAAAGAGCAAAGUGGUCUUUUGUCAGAUACGUCAUUGCAACCUGUGGACAUCGGUUCAGAAGUAAUUGAUCAGCAUUUCCAGGAUGUAUUAAAUCUGGCACCUGCUGAAGGUAACAGUCCUGUUAGUUUGUUAUCCGAUAGGUCUAACGAAGCAAAAUGUUUCCCUGUUCUGUAUCCAACUGGUGGUCCAACAUUUCAUGAUAAGAGGGAGGUAAAAAUAACACUGUCGAGAUACUUGAAUGCAAGAAUCCUCAAUGCAGAUGGACGUUUUGCACGAAGCACAGACUUCAUUUUCUAUGCACAGUAUCUGUCUGAGAUUGAUCAAGUUGUAUCCAAUGUUUCAAUUGCUUUACGCAAAGGAUCUGAGAAGAGUUUAUUGACUGAAGUGACAUCAGAUGUGCUAACAAACCCAGACUCGUUAUCUAAAAUCUUGAAUUUUGAUGAAGGAUACAAGUUUUUGAGACCAAUCCGUGGAACGCCUCCAUAUUGGCAGUCUACUCAAAAGGACCUUUUUGCACUUGUAAGACAGCUAGGUAUUCCAACUUUCUUUGCAUCCUUUAGUUCUGCGGAUCUCAGAUGGCCAGAAAUGAUUAGUACUAUAAUCAAACUAGAAGGGAAAAAUCUGAAAGCAGAUGAACUUGACUGGUCUGAAAAAUGUGGAUUGAUUAGACGAAACCCAGUGACUGCUGCAAGAAUGUUUGAUCAUAGAUGGCAUUGUUUUCUGAGAAAUGUAAUCAUGUCUUCAGCUCAACCGAUCGGCAAGAUAGUAGAUUACUUUUAUCGUGUAGAGUUUCAACAGCGUGGAUCUCCUCAUGUUCACUGUCUGUUUUGGGUUGAAAAUGCCCCAACGUUAAAUGAAGACAAUGAAGAAAACGAUGGUUUGGUUGCUAGUUUCAUUGAUCGGUACAUCACUUGUGAGACCCCAAGCGAGGAUGAAACUGAUCUGUUUGAGAUUGUCAACGGUGUUCAGAAGCACAGUGUCAGACAUUCAAAGACAUGUCGUAAGAAAAAGACAGUUUGCAGAUUUAAUUUUCCACGACCCCCAUCAAGCCGUACCUUUAUUACAAGAGGUGGUAGUCGAGACGAUUUGAAAAGCGGUGAUGGAAAAGAUACUGCACGUACAGUUUUAGAAAAAGUGAAAAAGGCUUUAACAGCUUCUGAUAUGGAUUAUGACUCUACUGAUGCAUUUUUUGAGUCCAUUGGUAUUAACCAAGCUCUCUUUGAGAAAGUGUAUGCGCAGUGUUCCAAAAAGAAAUCCGUUGUCCUGAAAAGAAGUCCAAAAGACGUAUGGGUGAACCAGUAUAAUAAACAUUUACUGCGUGCCUGGCAAGGCAACAUGGAUAUCCAGUACGUCACUGAUGCUUACUCUGUAGUGGUUUACAUUAUCAGUUACAUCACAAAAGCAGAACAAGAAAUGGGAUUGUUGCUGCAACGUGCGCAAAACGAAGCCAUGAAUGGAAACCUUGAAGCGAGAUCAUCACUGAAGAUGCUUGGUAGUGUAUAUCUUCACAACAGAGAAGUUUCUGCUCAAGAGGCUGUGUAUCGUCUGACCGGUAUGCACUUGAAGGAAUGUUCUCGUAAAGUCCAGUUUAUUCCAAUUGGAUUGAAUCCUGUAAAGAUGAGUUUGCCUCUUCGUGUCAUCAAAAACAAAGUUGAUCAGUCUGGUGAAGAAGCUAGCUUUUGGAUGACUAGUCUGGUUGACCGAUACAAGAAUAGGCCAAACACGGAAGAGUUUGAGACCCAAUGUCUUGCAAGUUUUUGCUCUGAAAACAGGAUCUUGUCAAAAUCGGAGGUUUCUUCACAAAAAAAGUCUUCUGAAGACAAGGUGAUCAAGCUUAACAACGACUGUGGUUAUAUGAUGAAGAGAACUCGAACUGACCCUGCUGUUGUUCGAUAUCCGAGAUUUUCUCCCAAAAAAGAUCCAGAAAAGUACUUUCAUUCAUUGUUGCAACUUUUCUUGCCGCAUUAUGAAGAUUGUCAGCUCAAGCCUGAGAGUUUUAGCACUUAUGAGGAAUUCUACAACAGUGGUGCUGUGAAAUGUGGGAGAAAUGUGACUCAAGUCAAAUGUAUUGUUGAUGCUAAUCGAGCACUCUUUGAAAAGGAAAGUGACAAAAUUGAUCGAGCUCAACAGCUUUUGGAGCAAGGUGUUGAUUUGGAAGAUGCUUGGGCUGCGUUAUGUCCUGAAACUGAAAAGGAACGUCACGAAUGUUUAGAACUAAGGAAGAGUAAUACAAUUCCUGAUGAAGAUGAUUCUGAGUGUUCUAUUCCAGAUCUUGUAACGAACCCUCGAACUCCAUACAGUAUUGAAACCAAUCAGGCUGGAAUUUCUAGAGAAGAAGCAUUAUGUUUACUGCGAUCAUUAAAUGCACAACAAUGUGCAAUCUUUUACAAAGUACGGAAAUGGUGUUUAGAGAAACUUCUUGGUGAAAACCCUGAACCAUUUCACUUGUUUGUCACUGGUGGAGCAGGCACAGGCAAGAGUCAUUUAAUCAAAGCGAUCUACUAUGAAUCCUCCAGACUUUUAUCUCAGCUGUCCGAAAACCCUGAUGAUAGAAGUGUGAUUUUAACUGCGUCAACCGGAGUGGCCAGUUUUCAAAUUGGUGCUUCUACAAUCCAUAAUACCUUUUCCAUAGGUGCCAAUGUCAAACUGCCAUAUCAGCCCCUAGGUGAUGACAAAAUCAAUUCACUGCGUGCAAAACUUGGAGGUUUGCAGAUCCUGAUCAUUGAUGAGGUGUCUAUGGUUGACCAUCACCUUUUGUCUUAUGUUCAUGGUAGAUUGAGACAAAUUAAGCAAACUGGUGACUACUCAAUUUUUGGAAGAGUCAGUUUGGUCUGUGUUGGUGAUUUUUAUCAGCUACCGCCAGUCAAGGGAAUUCCCCUGUAUGUUGAUCCAAAAGGAGUGAAUCUUUGGGAUACCAACUUUGAAAUUGCUGAACUAACACAAGUUGUCAGGCAACAAGAUGCAUCUUUUGCUGAAAUGUUAAAUCGUCUGAGAGUUCAUAAAAAGAACGAAACUCUAAGCCCAAAUGACAUCAACAUGUUGAAGCAACGUGAAACUGGUGAAGAAUGCGAUGUUAUUCAUAUAUUCCCUACAAAUGCUCAGGUUGAUGAGUACAAUAUACAGAAACUUAAUGAGCGUUGUCCUGAGGCAAUCACUAUUCACGCUAGAGACUUUGCUAGAAAUCCAGAAACUGGAAGAAUAGAAAGGAAAGUUGGAUUUCAUGCAAAAGUUUUCAACUCUUGUUUGGACAAAUGUGUUUCCUUGGGUGUUGGUGCCAGAGUAAUGCUUAGGAAAAAUGUUGAUGUUUCUGAUGGACUUGUCAAUGGAGCCUGUGGUACAGUUGUCCACAUAAGCAGAAAACAAAGACGUGAUGAUGAUGAAGAUGAUGACUUCCCAUCAGCUAUCCAUGUUGAAUUUGAUGAUCCAAAUGUUGGUAAAGUUCAGAGAUCGAAGCUGCGACAGAAAUAUUCUCCAAAUUCGACUGUUAUUGAAGUGGAAGAAGAUCAAGUCUCAAACGAUGGUGGUUUAAGACGUCAGUUUCCACUAAAAUUGGCAUGGGCAUGCACCGUUCAUAAAGUGCAAGGACUCACAGUAGAUAAAGCGGUCGUCUCACUUGACAAGGUAUUUUCUCCGGGACAAGCAUACGUUGCACUGAGUCGUGUGAGAACCCUCGAUGGACUAAUAAUUAAUAACUUCAAAGACUCUGUCAUAUAUUGUAAUGAGAAAAUUGACUCCGCUAUGAAAAACAUGCCCCGACUUGCUUUAGAAAAUUACAGUUUUGUAAAGACACCUGGCGUGUUUACAAUUGCUCUUCAUAAUGUACAAAGUCUUCGAGCUCAUGUUCAAGAUCUUCAAGUUCACAGACAGAUAAUGAAUGCAGAUUGCAUCUGUUUAACUGAAACGUGGCUAAAAGUUGAAGACCAAGUACAGAUUCCAGGAUUUGUUUUUAAGAGCAAUCCAAGGGCUAAAUGUUAUGACAACAGUACUCCACUUUUCACUGAUUUAAAACAACAAAGAGGAGGUGGAGUUGGACUAUUCUGUUGUGAAAGCAUUCAUUUUAAUGUCAGGGUUCCAGAACCUUGUAACUUGGAAUGUCUAUACUUUGCAGUUCCACAUCUAAGUUUGAAUGCUGCUUUGCUGUACAGACCUAAUUCAUAUCCACUUAAUCUGUUUCGACAAAAUAUGUUGCAUGUUAUUGAUGAGCUGGAGAAACAGUCAGGAAAGAAAGUGAUUAUGGGAGACUUCAAUGAGGACAUCUUGGCAUCAUCUACAAUUGGUACACUAAUGGAACUACAUGGAUACAGUCAACAUGUGCAACACCCUACCACUGAAAAAGGUACACUGAUAGACCAUGUCUAUGUUAAAGAUGCAGAAAAUGUCUCUGUUGAAAUUGUGCAAACGUAUUACAGUUACCACCAAGCAGUCCUUAUUUCACUGAGGUAAAAAUUAAUGUGUGUAAUUAUGUAAUGAAACCUGUAUAACCUGCAUUAUUUGUUUCUCGUCUGUGCUCUUACUUGUUCAAUGUUCAUCCUGAGCUUCCAACUGGCAUACAACUGCAGGGCAAGUGUACAACUGGAGACGGUAUGUUCUAAGUCUAUCUAUAUCUAAAUGAAUAACUCUUAUAAUGAUCCAUCAGUUGAAUAUGUACAGCUGUUCCAUGUUAUGAUUGAAGUAUUAUCUGAAGGUAAUCCAUUUUAUCAAUGCAACACUCUGAAAUGAGAAUUGUAUCACUGUAUUGUCUGUUCUGUUUUUGUGUCCAUACGAUAUGAGCGCUAUCCUGAGAUUCCAACAUGGUCAGAGUCCAGUUAAUCCAGCCUGUAAUUCAAACAAGUGAUCAUCAUUUUCAACCCAACAUCUCCCAUAAUUGCUCUUCUUUCUUGAGCUAGUAAGCUUCACCCAGCCAAGUCAUUCUAAGCCAUCCAAAUCAUAAUGGAUGCUUCCAAACAUUAUAGGAAGCAUCCACAAAGACUGCCUGCAUCCAUCCAUUUGUCUCCUAAUUUCACAAUUAAGUCAAUAGAACGACACAAAAUUGAUUUCUGCAAUACGCUACAUAUUUGAAACUUCCUCCUUAUCCUAUAUUUGAUUUUUCUACGCCAUGAACUGUUUUCAUGAAGAGGCACACAACCAAUCAAAAGGUUUUUGCAAUACGUUACACUUCAAACUUCCGCCUUAUCUAUUAUGAUUCUCCACUCCAUGAACUGUUUUUAUGAAGAGGCAAACAACCAAUCAAAAGGUUUGUGCAUCAAAACCCAAUAUCUCCUGUCCACUACUCCCAAAAGAUUUCUGCAAUUUACUACUACACAUCAAACUUCCUUCUCCAAUAUAAUUCUCCGCUUCACGAACUGUUUUUAUGAAGAGGCACACAACCAAUCAAAAGGUUUGUGCAUGAAAACCCAAUAUCUACGGUCCACUAAUCCAAAAAGAUUUCUGCAAUGUUACACUUCAAACUUCCGCCUUAUCCAUUAUGAUUCUCCACUCCAUGAACUGUUUUUAUGAAGAGGCACACAACCAAUAAAAAGGUUUGUGCAUCAAAACCAAUAUCUCCUGUCCACUACUCCCAAAAGAUUUCUGCAAUUUACUACACAUCAAACUUCCUUUUUCAAUAUGACUCUCCGCCCCAUGAACUGUUUUUAUGAAGAGGCACACAACCAAUAAAAAGGUUUGUGCAUGAAAACCCAAUUUCUACGAUCCACUACUCCAAAAAGAUUUCUACAAUAUUCAAACUUCUCCAUUAUAUGAUUCUCUGCUCCAUGAACUGUAUUUUAUGAAACUGCACAAAACCGAUAAAAAGUUUUGUGCAGAACAAGUCAGUAACUACUGUCCACUACUCCCAAAAGAUUUUUGCAAUGCAUUACAUAUGUGAAACUUCCUCCUUAUCCAUUCUGAUUCUCUGCUCCAAAAAACUGUUUUUAUGAAGAGGCACACAACCAAUCAAAAGAUUUCUACAAUAUGCUACACUUAAAACUUCUCCAUUAUAUGAUUCUCUGCUCCAUGAACUGUAUUUUAUGAAGCUGCACAAAACCGAUAAAAAGUUUUGUGCAGAACAAGUCCAUAACUACUGCCCACUACUCCCAAAAGAUUUCUGCAAUACGCUACAUAUGUGAAACUUCCUCCUUAUCCAUUCUGAUUCUCCACUCCAUGAACUGUUUUUAUGAAGAGGCACACAACCAAUAAAAAGGUUUGUGCAACAUGUUACACUUCAAACGUCCGUCUUAUCCAUUAUGAUUCUCCGCUCCAUGAACUAUUUUUAUGAAGAGGCACACAACCAAUAAAAAGGUUUGUGCAUGAAAACCCAAUAUCCAUUGUCCACUGUUCCCAAAAGAUUUCUGCAAUACGCUACAUAUGUGAAACUUCCUCCUUAUCCAUUCUGAUUCUCCGCUCCAAGAAACUGUUUUUAUGAAGAGGCACACAACCAAUAAAAAGGUUUGUGCAUGAAAACCCAAUAUCCAUUGUCCACUGUUCCCAAAAGAUUUCUGCAAUACGCUACAUAUGUGAAACUUCCUCCUUAUCCAUUCUGAUUCUCCGCUCCAAGAAACUGUUUUUAUGAAGAGGCACACAACCAAUAAAAAGGUUUGUGCAUGAAAACCCAAUUUCUACGAUCCACUACUCCAAAAAGAUUUCUACAAUAUUCAAACUUCUCCAUUAUAUGAUUCUCUGCUCCAUGAACUGUAUUUUAUGAAACUGCACAACAACGAUAAAAAGUUUUGUGCAGAACAAGUCAAUAACUACUGUCCACUACUCCCAAAAGAUUUCUGCAAUGCGCUACAUAUGUGAAACUUCCUCCUUAUCCAUUCUGAUUCUCCACUCCAUGAACUGUUUUUAUGAAGAGGCACACAACCAAUGAAAAGGUUUUGUGCAACACGUUACACUUCAAACUUCUUCCUUAUCCAUUAUGAUUUUCCGCUCCAAGAAACUGUUUUUAUGAAGAGGCACACAACCAAUAAAAAGGUUUGUGCAUGAAAACCCAAUAUCUACAAUCCACUACUCCAAAAAGAUUUCUGCAAUGUUACACUUCAAACUUCCGCCUUAUCCAUUAUGAUUCUCCGCUCCACAAACUGUUUUAAUGAAGAGGCACACAACCAAUCAAAAGGUUUGUGCAAAACGUUACACUUCAAACUUCGGUCUUAUCCGCUAUGAUUCUCCACCCCAUGAACUGUUUUUAUGAAGAGGCACACAACCAAUCAAAAGGUUUGUGCAAUACGUUACACUUCAAACUUCGGUCUUAUCCGCUAUGAUUCUCCACCCCAUGAACUGUUUUUAUGAAGAGGCACACAACCAAUCAAAAGGUUUGUGCAAUACGUUACACUUCAAACUUCGGUCUUAUCCGCUAUGAUUCUCCACCCCAUGAACUGUUUUUAUGAAGAGGCACACAACCAAUCAAAAGGUUUGUGCAAUACGUUACACUUCAAACUUCGGUCUUAUCCGCUAUGAUUCUCCACCCCAUGAACUGUUUUUAUGAAGAGGCACACAACCAAUCAAAAGGUUUGUGCAUGAAAACCCAAUAUCUACGGUCCACUUCUCCAAAAAGAUUUCUGCAAUGUUACACUUCAAACUUCCGCCUUCUCCAUUAAGAUUCUCCACUCCAUGAACUGUUUUUAUGAAGAGGCACACAACCAAUCAAAAGGUUUGUGCAUCAAAACCCAAUAUCUCCUGUCCACUACUCCCAAAAGAUUUCUGCAAUUUACUACACAUCAAACUUCCUUCUCCGCUAUGAUUCUCCACCCCAUGAACUGUUUUUAUGAAGAGGCACACAACCAAUCAAAAGGUUUGUGCAUGAAAACCCAAUAUCUACGGUCCACUUCUCCAAAAAGAUUUCUGCAAUGUUACACUUCAAACUUCCGCCUUAUCCAUUAAGAUUCUCCACUCCAUGAACUGUUUUUAUGAAGAGGCACACAACCAAUCAAAAGGUUUGUGCAUCAAAACCCAAUAUCUCCUGUCCACUACUCCCAAAAGAUUUCUGCAAUUUACUACACAUCAAACUUCCUUCUCCGCUAUGAUUCUCCACCCCAUGAACUGUUUUUAUGAAGAGGCACACAACCAAUCAAAAGUGAAUACAAAAUCAUUGUUCAAGUAUCUUCAGAAAAUGUCCCGGCAAAACUCUAAACCGAUGCAGGCAGUCAAUAGUCAAAGAUAUCACAAAUGCAUAACCACAAAAGUAACACAAUUCUAUAUGAAAUGUUGGAUGGAUGGCUUGUAUUAUAUUUGGCCUAUGUACAGCAAA